GGAGAAGGAGGUGCGGGACUCUUGAAGAGUCUGUUGUCACUGGUGUCCGUAGCUCAAGUAGGAGAGACGAAUCUGUCAGGCAAAAGAGAGCUGAAAUUUUUGUCCUAAGGAGCUUCCCUGUUCACAGGGGGACUUCUCUCACCUUUGGGAAUAGGCUGCAGGUGGAAUUGAACAACUCAAAUUCCCUCCAGACAUUAUCAUUGGUGUCACUGGAAGAAAAUUAAGGGGAGACCUAUACACAUAGGACUAUACUGAUCACCAGAAAAU